rnacentral:lncRNA from 1 species
UUAUGAGCCAGAGUUGUCCCACCCAGGAGAGUUUUGGAAGUGAGAGGAGCAACCAGCAAGAGAGGCCGGCUGCCUGGCUGACAGAGAGCAAGCCGGCAGCUGCACCUUGAUACUGAAGCCGGGCUGCUUCCCUUUGGACAGUCAGGACGCAUCUCCGAGAAGUUCUUCUUCAUUGCCGCAGCCUCAUCUAUGCACAGGGAAGAUCCUCCUGAGCUCUGCAAGUGUCCAAACUUAGAAUGGGCAACCAAGGCUGACUGUGAACAUUUCCUUCCUGGUUGGGCUUUAGGAAGAGAAGCGAAAUUUGCCUAUUACCUCUACACACCUCCUGAGACCAGGAGAAUCCUGGGUGACACCAGGCAUUCAAGGAUUUCAUGAUACAGUCUCUCCCUCCCUAAUGCACCUUUCAGCGUUGCUACUGGGACAGCAUUUCCUGUGCCUUUUUAAAUUUAAUCCUCUUCACAGCCCUCUCAAGAGGCAGCGCGGCUCUGUGAUCAGGAGCAUGAAUGCUAAAGCCAGACUACCUGGGUUCUCAACUUAGCCGUGCCGUUUUGAAGCUGUGUGACCUUGGGCAGGUUUCCCAGCUGUAGCCAGCUCAUGGAGUUGAAAUGAGAAUUAAGUCAAUGUUGGGAAAACACUUAGGACAAGGCCUGGAACACAAAUUGUAGCUGUUACUAGUAUGAUCAUUAAUAGUAGUAUGUCCUUUUUCAACAUUUGAGUAAACAGAGGCUCAGAGAGGUGAAGACACUUCCUUAAGGCCACACAGAUCAGGGAUUUAAGCCAUAGCACCAGACCUGGGAGCCAAGCUAAUAUUCCCUCUCCAACACAGCCCCUUCAAGUCCCAGGCUGGAAGUGAGCUGCCCUUCUUAGCAGUGAAACACCUAGAAAAUUGGCUGACAAUUUAUCGAGGGCGUCUUCAACAAGUGUGUCAUUUUGGAUACACUGUGGGCUAACUAUUGGUGCAGAGAGUGGGCUGAGGGGUCAGCUUCUUCAGCAUCUGGCUUCAUCCAUCUCUGGGUCAUUGAUGGCUUCUGUCAAGAUGGCCAAAGAAGACCACGAGAGUCAGGCUAGGCCUCCUCCUCUGCAUAUUAAUUACAGCCAAGGCAAAAUGUGGCCACAGCAGCAGUUAGGGGACAACAGGACCCUGCAAGUCCUCAAGCAGUCAGGCAGAGGACACCUUGGGCACCCCGCCCUCUGCCCAGCACAAUCUUCCGUGGCACUGCCGAGGACCUCAGCAAGAUGCAGACCUCCAGGGAUGUCAGCCUGUCUCCUCCUCUAGGUCUGUCCUCUUUCUGUCCCUCUGUUUGUCCCUCUCCCCUCUCUCAACCACCUCUCCAUCAUUCUGCAAUCAACAUCCUGCCCAUGGUCAGGGAUAUCUAAAAAGCUAUCCAGGCUGGGCGUGGUGGCUCAUGCCUAUAAUCCCAGCAUUUUGGGAGGCCAAGGCAGGCAGAUGACUUGAGGUCAGGAGUUUGAGACCAGCCUGGACAACAUGGCGAAACCUCGUCUCUAAUAAAGCUACAAAAAUUAUCCAGGCAUGGCGGCAGCACCUGUAAUCCCAGAUACUCGGGAGGCUGAGGUGGGUGAAUCGCUUGAACCCAGGAGGAAGAGGUUGCAGUGAGCCAAGAUCGUGCCACUGCACUCCAGCCUGGGUGACAGAGCAACACUCUGUGUCAAAAUAAAUAAAUAAAUAAAAAGCUAUUCAUCUUCUGAAGAAUGGAGGUGGUCAGAUUUUGUCUUAUUUUCUGAAACAUACUUCAAUAUUUUCCUAAUACAAAUAUGUGUCAGAUAUAAAAAAUUCCAAUA